AAUACAAUUUAUCAAUAUUUUGAUUUUCAAUAAUUUUUUGGCUUAUGAUUAAAUGUGAAGAAAAUUUUUUUAAAAUCAAACGUUGAAUAUUACGACUCUUUCGAUAUUUUUUUUUCUCAAUUUGCUUAACAAUUCGAUUUUGUAAUUUUGAUAAAUUUUUAUAAGUAUAUUCCCAAUUUAUUAUUUUUUUAGAAUUAUUCAAUAUAAAUAAACUCAUAAUUAUAUUCUUUAAAGCAUUAACGAACUCUUCAGGUAGGAUUUGAACCUACAACCCCUCGGUUAACAGCCGUUUGCUCUACCUUUGAGCUACUGAAGAUCUUUUUUAGGAUAUCGUUUUUAAUAAAUAAAAAGCAAACUAAUUAUUUUUUAUAUAUUAUGUAAAGAUAUUUAAUUAAUAUAUAAAAAAUAAUUAGUUUGCUUUUUAUUUAUUGCUAUACUAGUAUUUAACAACCUUUAGUUAAAAGAUUAUAAAGAUAAACAUAAAUAGAGGUCAA
rnacentral:tRNA from 1 species